AUGGAGAGACUUGUUAAUGUUCAUUAUAUUGACAAGGAGGCAUUCUUGAGUAACAAUGCCGACACGGGUGAGGAACCAUUGGUUUUUGAUACAAGCCCUAGCUAUGAGGAUGUUGUUGCAAAAGUGAGACAAGUCUUGAAGUGGAUGGACACCAAUGUUGAUGUUAAGUUAAUAGGAAGGUAUGAUGUUGGAGUUGGAGCCAAAUCUCGCUUGAAAAGUAUGCCUAUCACCUCGGAUUUGCAUUGGGAUGUAUACAAGGAAAAAGUAUCCCAAUCGGAAGACAAGUCACUUGAAUUGUUUGCCACCAAGGUUGAAUCUCCUCGGUUUACCUUUAAUUUGAACCGGCAUGUCUCUUCCCCAAUGGAUGACAUGAGCGUUGAGUUGUAUGCCCCCAAUGCUUCUAGCCAACCACCAACUAGCCAA
rnacentral:rRNA from 1 species